GCCAUCGAAAGGCACGACAUCUGAAAGGAUGGUCACGCAAAGCUGCGGAUCUAACGGGAAACCUAUGAUAGCCGGGCUGCCAUA
rnacentral:ncRNA from 1 species